rnacentral:rRNA from 1 species
UCAGAUGCGAAAGCGUGGGUAGCAAACAGGAUUAGAUACCCUGGUAGUCCACGCCGUAAACGCUGUCUACUUGGAGGUUGAGGUUUUAGACUUUGGCUUUCGGCGCUAUCGCAUUAAGUAGACCGCCUGGGGAGUACGGCCGCAAGGUUAAAACUCAAAUGAAUUGACGGGGGCCCGCACAAGCGGUGGAGCAUGUGGUUUAAUUCGAUGCAACGUGAAGAACCUUACCUACUCUUGACAUCCAGCGAAGCCUUUAGAGAUAGAGGCGUGCCUUCGGGAGCGCUGAGACAGGUGCUGCAUGGCUGUCGUCAGCUCGUGUUGUGAAAUGUUGGGUUAAGUCCCGCAACGAGCGCAACCCUUAUCCUUGUUUGCCAGCACAUAAUGGUGGGAACUCCAGGGAGACUGCCGGUGAUAAACCGGAGGAAGGUGGGGACGACGUCAAGUCAUCAUGGCCCUUACGAGUAGGGCUACACACGUGCUACAAUGGCAGAUACAGAGGGCAGCGAGACAGCGAUGUUUAGCGAAUCCCUUAAAGUUUGUCGUAGUCCGGAUUGGAGUCUGCAACUCGACUCCAUGAAGUCGGAAUCGCUAGUAAUCGUGGAUCAGAAUGCCACGGUGAAUACGUUCCCGGGCCUUGUACACACCGCCC